CCGGCAAGACGGGUGAGUAACGCGUGGGAACAUACCUUUUGGUUCGGAACAACACAGGGAAACUUGUGCUAAUACCGGAUAAGCCCUUACGGGGAAAGAUUUAUCGCCGAAAGAUUGGCCCGCGUCUGAUUAGCUAGUUGGUAGGGUAAUGGCCUACCAAGGCGACGAUCAGUAGCUGGUCUGAGAGGAUGAUCAGCCACAUUGGGACUGAGACACGGCCCAAACUCCUACGGGAGGCAGCAGUGGGGAAUAUUGGACAAUGGGCGCAAGCCUGAUCCAGCCAUGCCGCGUGAGUGAUGAAGGCCCUAGGGUUGUAAAGCUCUUUUGUGCGGGAAGAUAAUGACGGUACCGCAAGAAUAAGCCCCGGCUAACUUCCGUGC
rnacentral:rRNA from 1 species